rnacentral:rRNA from 1 species
ACGAACGCUGGCGGCGUGCUUAACACAUGCAAGUCGAACGAUGAUCCGGUGCUUGCGCCGGGGAUUAGUGGCGAACGGGUGAGUAACACGUGAGUAACCUGCCUUGGACUCUGGGAUAACCCCGAGAAAUCGGAGCUAAUACCGGAUAGGACCUUGGACCGCAUGGUUUGGGGUGGAAAGUUUUUUCGGUUUGGGAUGGACUCGCGGCCUAUCAGCUUGUUGGUGAGGUAAUGGCUCACCAAGGCGUCGACGGGUAGCCGGCCUGAGAGGGUGACCGGCCACACUGGGACUGAGACACGGCCCAGACUCCUACGGGAGGCAGCAGUGGGGAAUAUUGCACAAUGGGCGCAAGCCUGAUGCAGCAACGCCGCGUGCGGGAGGACGGCCUUCGGGUUGUAAACCGCUUUUGGUGAGGAAGAAGGGGCUCUUUUUGGGGGUCUUGACGGUACUUGCAGAAAAAGGACCGGCUAACUACGU